UACAGAGGUCUCAAGCGUUGUUCGGAUUCAUUGGGCGUAAAGGGUGCGUAGGUGGCGCGCUAAGUCAGGUGUGAAAUUUCGGAGCUUAACUCCGAAACUGCAUUUGAUACUGUUGUGCUUGAGGACUGGAGAGGAGACUGGAAUUCAUGGUGUAGCAGUGAAAUGCGUAGAGAUCAUGAGGAAGACCAGUGGCGAAGGCGGGUCUCUGGACAGUUCCUGACACUGAGGCACGAAGGCCAGGGGAGCAAACAGG
rnacentral:rRNA from 1 species